GUCGAACGGCAGCACGGGAGCAAUCCUGGUGGCGAGUGGCGAACGGGUGAGUAAUAUAUCGGAACGUGCCCAGUAGUGGGGGAUAACUGCUCGAAAGAGCAGCUAAUACCGCAUACGACCUGAGGGUGAAAGGGGGGGAUCGCAAGACCUCUCGCUAUUGGAGCGGCCGAUAUCAGAUUAGCUAGUUGGUGGGGUAAAGGCCUACCAAGGCAACGAUCUGUAGUUGGUCUGAGAGGACGACCAGCCACACUGGGACUGAGACACGGCCCAGACUCCUACGGGAGGCAGCAGUGGGGAAUUUUGGACAAUGGGCGCAAGCCUGAUCCAGCAAUGCCGCGUGCAGGAAGAAGGCCUCGGUGUAACUGCUUUUGUUCAGGGAAGAAAGUACCUCUACGGUUAA
rnacentral:rRNA from 1 species